rnacentral:rRNA from 1 species
AACCCAUGUGAACCAUACCAAACUGUUGCCUCGGCGGGGUCACGCCCCGGGUGCGUCGCAGCCCCGGAACCAGGCGCCCGCCGGAGGGACCAACCAAACUCUUUCUGUAGUCCCCUCGCGGACGUUAUUUCUUACAGCUCUGAGCAAAAAUUCAAAAUGAAUCAAAACUUUCAACAACGGAUCUCUUGGUUCUGGCAUCGAUGAAGAACGCAGCGAAAUGCGAUAAGUAAUGUGAAUUGCAGAAUUCAGUGAAUCAUCGAAUCUUUGAACGCACAUUGCGCCCGCCAGUAUUCUGGCGGGCAUGCCUGUCCGAGCGUCAUUUCAACCCUCGAACCCCUCCGGGGGUCCGGCGUUGGGGAUCGGGAACCCCUAAGACGGGAUCCCGGCCCCGAAAUACAGUGGCGGUCUCGCCGCAGCCUCUCAUGCGCAGUAGUUUGCACAACUCGCACCGGGAGCGCGGCGCGUCCACGUCCGUAAAACACCCAACUUCUGAAAUGUUGACCUCGGAUCAGGUAGGAAUACCCGCUGAACUUAAGCAUAUCAAUAAGCGGAGGAAAAAGAAA